rnacentral:rRNA from 1 species
ACGGAGGGUGCAAACGUUGCUCGGAAUCAUUGGGCGUAAAGCGCACGUAGGUGGCCUGUUAAGUCGGGUGUGAAAUCCCUGGGCUCAACCCAGGAAGUGCACUCGAAACUGGCAGGCUUGAGUACUGAAGAGGGUCGCGGAAUUCCCGGUGUAGAGGUGAAAUUCGUAGAUAUCGGGAGGAACACCAGUGGCGAAGGCGGCGACCUGGACGGACACUGACGCUGAGACGCGAAAGCGUGGGGAGCAAACAGGA